GUCUACGCAUGCAGGUGUAACAUGUGCUCAUGAGGACACGUUCCAUAUACCUGCUCCUCUACGUGUUUGGUGUUGGGUGUGUACAGACGGGAAAGAUGGAUCAAGUAUCAAGACUGAGUGUCAAGACUGAAUCCCCCUCCUUCCCAUGAAGCAUGUCCCAGUCAUGCCCGCCGGCCACGCUCAUUGUUAGAGACCUUCAAAAGAUCACUGCCAAGUCGUGAUGUCCUAGAUACAUUGUGGGUCAAGAUGAGAAGCAAGGCUCCUCUGUCCAUGGGAUUCUCCAAUACUGGAAUGAGUUGCCACGCCCUCCUCCAGGGGGUCUUCUCGAUCCGGGGAUUGAACCCAAAUCGCAGACAGAGUCUUUACCAUUGAGCCAUCAGAGAAGCCGGGAUGUGGAGAUAAGUCACCAGAAAGACGUCCUUUGGGACAGAUUGGAAUAUGCAGGCCUGGAAAAGGGAAGGCCUGGAGACAGCGGCUGCGGUCAGGCCCCCAGGGCCUGGUGUGCCCACUUUACUGUGGGUGGGGAGCAGGAUUUCUGCUCUGGGGCGCCCCCAUCGUGACCAUCCUGGGUGGAUUAUGCAGACUGUUUAGUCCUUGCCUGACUCCUGGGACGCUGGACAGUUCUCUGAGGGUCUGGCUGCCUACAAGGCCUCUCUGGGCAUUGACCCAUCUGGACACUGCAACCUUCACCCAAGCCAGCCCCGUGACUAUUUUGCCAGAGGGGUUCUAAGUUUUUAGACAAUUUUUUGCCAAGGGAACCCAUCAAUAUUGCAUAAACUGAUUUCUGUUUUGGAUGGAGACAGUUUUUAUUGGAUUUCCACUUAAUCCCCAUCUUUGUGGUUC
ensembl:lncRNA